GCACUCGCUUCAGCAGCACAUAUACUAAAAUGGAAGACACAGAGAAAAUUAGGAUGGCCCUGCUAAAAUAUGACACAUAAAUUUGUGAAGCAUUCCAUGCUUUU